UAUAAUUAUUUUUUAUUCAAGUUAAAUUGAUUUAAAUUUUUAUUUUCAGGAACGUCCUGAGUUGAAGUUGUCCUCCCACAGAAGGAAGGUAGAGAAAUUUGGAAUGUCUGUUCCAGAGAUUGAAGGCAUAGUGGUUGUCACAGGAUUAAGUCCUCUAAUUGCAUGCUCCUUGGACAAUGGUGACAAGGGACUUAUAUAUGUUUUUGCUGAGAGGUGUCAUAAGAAAACUAGUAGUUUCCAUCUUCUGGUAAGAAAUGUCACUAUCACCCUCGAUAAUGUGGCAUUGUUGCUUUAUCUGCUCGUUACAAGUGCCUUUCAUAGCUUUGAGGCUCCUCAUGUAGACCAAGUCGUGGACUUGUUGGUUGACUUGCUUGAAGUUAGUUCACAAGAAGGAAGAGAAAAGACAUUUCAAUGCCAUGAGGCAUGUGUUCGGCUAUCCUGGCUGCGAGACAUUUAUCGUAGCAAAUGUGACGCAGGAUACUAGACCGUAGCAGCUAGAGCAUAUCUUUUGCAUUUAGUAGGUUGCACACUCUUUGCUAACAAGAGUGUCACACACAUGCAUGUGGUAUUCUUGGAUGCAUUUCAUGACCUCAGCCAAACUGGAAGCUACGCAUGGGGAGCUGCUGCAUUGGUCCAUAUGUAUGAGAAUUUGAAUGAUGCGUCAAAGAGAAGCGCUAGACAACUUGCAGGAUAUAUCACACUUUUAGAGAUUAUCGUGAGAGGAAACCACAUGUUUGUCGUUGGAAGUCUAUGAAGGCAUUAUCAGUGUCAGCGCAUCAUAAGCAGUUGGAUAGAUUGACGUCCUAUGUUGUGAGCUGGAUUCCUUAUGGUGAUCACCCGUGCAUUCAGAGAGUUUGAGCUGAUCUCAUUAUUUUCUGGACAUAUUAGAAAGGGUCCAUUUAUUGUCAUACACCAACCAGAGAGAGUUGUGCGAGAAUUUGGUUAUGUGCAAACCAUUCCUCCACACCAUGCUGCUUCAUCUUUAUCUAUAAAGGAUAUUGAUGAUAUAUGAGUUAAGUUUUCUAAAUACCUUGCAUCGGUGGGUCAUCAGCUUUGUGGUACUCCUGGAUAGUGUGCAUUGGACUACAUGGAGUGGUUCUACUUCAUAUCUCACCCCUUCAUGAGUCCGAAACAGCUUAAGGAUUCUCCUAGACAUCCACUUGCAGUGCACGAUGAUACAUUUAUUGAACCAAAUCCUCCUCAGCAGCCAAUGGAUAUGCCAGAACCACAUGCAGCUGCACUGGUUGAUGUAGACAUGCCUCGACAUGUACUGAGGUUUGCCAAGGAAUAGCAAAAAGGUUGUAACGCUUGAUCAACCUUAGGGUAGUCACUGAAGGAACAAAAGCAUACACUGUGACCAAGGAGAGCCUAAGGAUCGUCAAGGGUGUGACUAUGCAAGGGAGUGUAUAUAUUCAAUUGAGACAAUGGCGGCGUAUGUCGGACGCAUGAAGAUUGUUAGAAUUUUUUAGGUUUUAUAUGAAUUAUGUAUGUAAUAUGACGGGAUAAUAUUUAUUAUUUAUUGCUAUUUGAUAAGUUUUU